rnacentral:rRNA from 1 species
CCUACGGGAGGCAGCAGUGAGGAAUAUUGGUCAAUGGGCGCGAGCCUGAACCAGCCAAGUAGCGUGAAGGAUGACUGCCCUACGGGUUGUAAACUUCUUUUAUAAAGGAAUAAAGUGAGGCACGAGUGCCUUUUUGUAUGUACUUUAUGAAUAAGGAUCGGCUAACUCCGUGCCAGCAGCCGCGGUAAUACGGAGGAUCCGAGCGUUGUCCGGUAUUAGUGGGUGUAAAGGGAGCGUCGAUGGGUUGUUAAGUCAGUUGUGAAAGUGUGCGGCUCAACCGUAACAUUGCUAUUGAUACUGGCAGUCUUGAGUACAUUUGAGGUAGGCGGAAUUCGUGGUGUAGCGGUGAAAUGCUUAGAUAUCACGAAGAACUCCGAUUGCGAAGGCAGCUUACUGAACUGCCACUGACAUUGAGGCUCGAAAGUGUGGGUAUCAAACAGGAUUAGAUACCCUAGUAGUC